rnacentral:rRNA from 1 species
AAUUUUCCGAAAUAGUGACAAAAAAUAUCAAUGCUGGGUACUAUGUAUCUAGUAAUUGGAAUGAGUACAAUUUAAAUCCCUUAACAAGUAACAAUUAGAGGGCAAGUCUGGUGCCAGCAGCCGCGGUAAUUCCAGCUCUAAUAGCGUAUAUUAAUAUUGUUGCAGUUAAAAAGCUCGUAGUUGAAAUUUGGAACUUUAUUGUAUUGGUUUUGCCUUUUGGUGAACUGUAUAAUGGGUUUCUUCCUACUAGAGUUCGAUUCUGUUCUUAACUGAAUGGAGUAGCUAUCUCUCGGGGUAGUCAGUUGGUUAUUAUGUCUCCACUAAUGAGCAGAGAGGGUAAAACCUUCAAAGUAAGUUUUGUGGGUCAAGGUAUAGUGAUUAAUUGGAGUUCUAGUUCGUUUACUUUUGAGAAAAUUUAGAGUGUUUAAAGCAGCUCUUGGGGCACUGAAUACAUUAGCAUGGGAUAAUAAAAUAGGAUCUUCACAAUAUAUUUUAUUUGGUUUUAAAAAUUGUACGUAUUGAAGAUAAUGAUUAAUAGGGACAGUUGGGGGUAUUCAUUAG